AUUGAACGCUGGCGGCAUGCCUUACACAUGCAAGUCGAACGGCAGCGGGGGAGAAGCUUGCUUUUCCUGCCGGCGAGUGGCGAACGGGUGAGUAAUACAUCGGAACGUGCCCUGUAGUGGGGGAUAACUAGUCGAAAGAUUAGCUAAUACCGCAUACGACCUGAGGGUGAAAGUGGGGGACCGCAAGGCCUCAUGCUAUAGGAGCGGCCGAUGUCUGAUUAGCUAGUUGGUGGGGUAAAGGCCUACCAAGGCGACGAUCAGUAGCUGGUCUGAGAGGACGAGCGGCCACACUGGGACUGGGCCACGGCCCAGACUCCUACGGGAGGCAGCAGUGGGGAAUUUUGGACAAUGGGCGAAAGCCUGAUCCAGCAAUGCCGCGUGUGUGAAGAAGGCCUUCGGGUUGUAAAGCACUUUUGUCCGGAAAGAAAUGGCUCUGGUUAAUACCUGGGGUCGAUGACGGUACCGGAAGAAUAAGGACCGGCUAACUACGUGCCAGCCGCCGCGGUAA
rnacentral:rRNA from 1 species